UGAGGGAAAAGAGAUUGGAGCAACAAGACAAAUCUAGAGGAACUAUUUGACAGAGGGUCGGGAUUCGUUCAGCACCAGAGGGAGAGACACAGGAAUCAGCCCGGAACGGUCAAGUGCUCAUGAGACUCCUGCUCCAACAGUGAGGCUAGAACGGAAGAAACAGUGCAGGGAGCAACGGAUAAAAUCUAUCCACUCCACCUGCCUGCCGCGGGCCUCGCUGGCAAUUACCUGAGCUCUGGCCUGGCUUGAGCUCAGAAAGCGCAAGAGUCUUAAUGGCUUUGCAUGCAGGAAGAUGUCAGGCCUGAGAUUACAAUUACUGAUAGGACUCUGCUACCAGACCGACUCUCUUCUCUCUCUCCCGCCGCACCGGAUUACUCACACUGAGCUUCUGCACGGUGAGGGGAGAUGAAAGCAGUGACCCCCUAGCACUCUUUUCCAGCCCCCUGAGGAUUGUUGGACCCCAAUUUGAAAACCCUGGACUAAAUUACCUCUUCCUGAGCUCCUCUUUAGUGUCAGGAAAAGUCGUC